AUAAGGUUAAGUGAAUAAGGGCGCACGGUGGAUGCCUUGGCACUAGGAGCCGAUGAAGGACGGGACUAACACCGAUAUGCUUUGGGGAGCUGUACGUAAGCUAUGAUCCAGAGAUUUCCGAAUGGGGAAACCCAACAUCUUUUAUAGGAUGUUACGUUUGCGUGAAUACAUAGCGCAUUCGAGGUAGACGCAGAGAACUGAAACAUCUAAGUACCUGCAGGAAGAGAAAGAAAAUUCGAUUCCCUGAGUAGCGGCGAGCGAAACGGGAAAAGCCCAAACCAAUGAGCUUGCUCAUUGGGGUUGUAGGACUCCAAUAUGGUAGUUCUUUCAGAUAAUCGAAUGACUUGGAAAAGUCAGUCAAAGAGGGUAAAAACCCCGUAGAUGAAAUUUGGAAGGCACCUAGGAGGAUCCUGAGUACGGCGGAACACGAGGAAUUCCGUCGGAAUCCGGGAGGACCAUCUCCCAAGGCUAAAUACUCCCUAGUGACCGAUAGUGAACCAGUACCGUGAGGGAAAGGUGAAAAGCACCCCGGAAGGGGAGUGAAAUAGAACCUGAAACCGUGUGCCUACAACAAGUCAAAGCCCGUUAAUGGGUGAUGGCGUGCCUUUUGUAGAAUGAACCGGCGAGUUACGAUUGCAUGCGAGGUUAAGUCGAAGAGACGGAGCCGCAGCGAAAGCGAGUCUGAAUAGGGCGUUUGAGUAUGUAGUCGUAGACCCGAAACCAUGUGAUCUACCCAUGUCCAGGUUGAAGGUGCGGUAAAACGCACUGGAGGACCGAACCCACGUACGUUGAAAAGUGCGGGGAUGAGGUGUGGGUAGCGGAGAAAUUCCAAACGAACUUGGAGAUAGCUGGUUCUCUCCGAAAUAGCUUUAGGGCUAGCCUCGGAUUUGAGAAUGAUGGAGGUAGAGCACUGUUUGGACUAGGGGCCCAUCUCGGGUUACCGAAUUCAGAUAAACUCCGAAUGCCAUUCAUUCAUAUCCGGGAGUCAGACUGUGAGUGAUAAGAUCCAUAGUCGAAAGGGAAACAGCCCAGACCACCAGCUAAGGUCCCAAAAUAUAUGUUAAGUGGAAAAGGAUGUGGGGUUGCACAGACAACUAGGAUGUUGGCUCAGAAGCAGCCACCAUUUAAAGAGUGCGUAAUAGCUCACUAGUCGAGUGACCCUGCGCCGAAAAUGUACCGGGGCUAAACAUAUUACCGAAGCUGUGGAGUACACCAUGAGGUGUAUUGGUAGGAGAGCGUUCUAAGGGCGUUGAAGGCAGAUCGUGAGGACUGCUGGAGCGCUUAGAAGUGAGAAUGCCGGUAUGAGUAGCGAAAGACAGGUGAGAAUCCUGUCCACCGAAUGACUAAGGUUUCCUGGGGAAGGCUCGUCCGCCCAGGGUUAGUCGGGACCUAAGCCGAGGCCGACAGGCGUAGGCGAUGGACAACAGGUUGAUAUUCCUGUACUCGUUGUUUUUGUUUGAGCAAUGGAGGGACGCAGGAGGCUAAGGAAUGCAGACGAUCGGAAAUGUCUGUCCAAGCAGUAAGUCUUGAUAGGAGUCAAAUGCUUCUGUCUACACGGAUAAGCUGUGAUGGGGAGGGAAAUAAUAGUACCGAAGUUCCUGAUGUCACACUGCCAAGAAAAGCUUCUAGUGAGAAAACAAUGACCCGUACCGCAAACCGACACAGGUAGUCGAGGAGAGAAUCCUAAGGUGAGCGAGAGAACUCUCGUUAAGGAACUCGGCAAAAUGACCCCGUAACUUCGGGAGAAGGGGUGCUGAUCUUCGAUCAGCCGCAGUGAAUAGGCCCAAGCGACUGUUUAUCAAAAACACAGGUCUCUGCAAAAUCGUAAGAUGAAGUAUAGGGGCUGACGCCUGCCCGGUGCUGGAAGGUUAAGAGGAGUGCUUAGCGUAAGCGAAGGUACGAAUUGAAGCCCCAGUAAACGGCGGCCGUAACUAUAACGGUCCUAAGGUAGCGAAAUUCCUUGUCGGGUAAGUUCCGACCCGCACGAAAGGCGUAACGAUUUGGGCACUGUCUCAACGAGAGACUCGGUGAAAUUUUAGUACCUGUGAAGAUGCAGGUUACCCGCGACAGGACGGAAAGACCCCAUGGAGCUUUACUGUAGUUUGAUAUUGAGUGUCUGUACCGCAUGUACAGGAUAGGUAGGAGCCGUAGAAAUCGGAACGCUAGUUUCGAUGGAGGCGCUGGUGGGAUACUACCCCUGCGUUAUGGCCACUCUAACCCGCACCACUGAUCGUGGUGGGAGACAGUGUCAGAUGGGCAGUUUGACUGGGGCGGUCGCCUCCUAAAAGGUAACGGAGGCGCCCAAAGGUUCCCUCAGAAUGGUUGGAAAUCAUUCGAAGAGUGUAAAGGCAGAAGGGAGCUUGACUGCGAGACCAACAAGUCGAGCAGGGACGAAAGUCGGGCUUAGUGAUCCGGUGGUUCCGCAUGGAAGGGCCAUCGCUCAACGGAUAAAAGCUACCCUGGGGAUAACAGGCUUAUCUCCCCCAAGAGUCCACAUCGACGGGGAGGUUUGGCACCUCGAUGUCGGCUCGUCGCAUCCUGGGGCUGUAGUCGGUCCCAAGGGUUGGGCUGUUCGCCCAUUAAAGCGGCACGCGAGCUGGGUUCAGAACGUCGUGAGACAGUUCGGUCCCUAUCCGUCGCGGGCGUUGGAAAUUUGAGAGGAGCUGUCCUUAGUACGAGAGGACCGGGAUGGACUUACCGCUGGUGUACCAGUUGUUCUGCCAAGGGCAUUGCUGGGUAGCUAUGUAGGGAAGGGAUAAACGCUGAAAGCAUCUAAGUGUGAAGCCCACCUCAAGAUGAGAUUUCCCAUUUCUUUAAGAAAGUAAGAUCCCUGAGAGAUGAUCAGGUAGAUAGGUCAGGAGUGGAAGGCCAGUGAUGGUUGGAGCGGACUGAUACUAAUCGAUCGAGGACUUAACCAAA
rnacentral:rRNA from 1 species